rnacentral:rRNA from 1 species
CGGACGGGUGAGUAACGCGUGGGUAACCUGCCUCACACUGGGGGAGUAACAGUUAGAAAUAGCUGCUAAUACCGCAUAAGCGCACGGUUCCGCAUGGAACAGUGUGAAAAACUCCGGUGGUGUGAGAUGGACCCGCGUCUGAUUAGCCAGUUGGCGGGGUAACGGCCCACCAAAGCGACGAUCAGUAGCCGGCCUGAGAGGGUGAACGGCCACAUUGGGACUGAGACACGGCCCAG